rnacentral:rRNA from 1 species
GAUGAACGCUAGCUACAGGCUUAACACAUGCAAGUCGAGGGGAAACGGCAUUAAGUGCUUGCACUUUUUGGACGUCGACCGGCGCACGGGUGAGUAACGCGUAUCCAACCUUCCCAUGACUAAGGGAUAACCUGCCGAAAGGCAGACUAAUACCUUAUGGUCUUCACUGACGGCAUCAGAUGUGAAGUAAAGAUUUAUCGGUUAUGGAUGGGGAUGCGUCUGAUUAGCUUGUUGGCGGGGUAACGGCCCACCAAGGCAACGAUCAGUAGGGGUUCUGAGAGGAAGGUCCCCCACAUUGGAACUGAGACACGGUCCAAACUCCUACGGGAGGCAGCAGUGAGGAAUAUUGGUCAAUGGGCGAGAGCCUGAACCAGCCAAGUAGCGUGCAGGAGGACGGCCCUAUGGGUUGUAAACUGCUUUUGUAUGGGGAUAAAGUCAAUCACGUGUGAUUGUUUGCAGGUACCAUACGAAUAAGAACCGGCUAAUUCCGUG